AAAUAGAGAAGUAAAAUACAUUUAGUUUCGACCUAACAAUUAAGAAUAAAAUUUCUUCCUAUUUA
rnacentral:tRNA from 1 species